GGACAAAUGAUCGCGGCCCGUUUUACGGGGUGAGGAAAGUCCGGGCUUCACAGGGCAGGAUGCCGGCUAACGGCCGGUGGAGGCGACUCUAAGGAAAGUGCAACAGAAAUAUACCGCCUGUUCACACAGGUAAGGUUGGAAGGGCAGUGUAAGAGACUACCGCCGGUAUGGUAACAUAUCGGGCAAUGUAAACCCCAUCCGAAGCAAGGCUUAAACAGGAGCGCAGGGCGGCCCGCCUGCUCCGGGGUUAGCCGCUUGAGCCUGUUGGCAACAGCAGGUCUAGAUAGAUGAUCAUUCACGACAUAACCCGGCUUAUCGUUCUGCUGGU
rnacentral:RNase_P_RNA from 1 species